AGAUUUCUGUCUCCGUUGGUGACCAGCGGAGGGUCAUUACCGAGUUUACAACUCCCAAACCCCUGUGAACAUACCUAUACGUUGCCUCGGCGGAUCAGCCCGCGCCCCGUAAAACGGGACGGCCCGCCCGAGGACCCCUAAACUCUGUUUUUAGUGGAACUUCUGAGUAAAACAAACAAAUAAAUCAAAACUUUCAACAACGGAUCUCUUGGUUCUGGCAUCGAUGAAGAACGCAGCAAAAUGCGAUAAGUAAUGUGAAUUGCAGAAUUCAGUGAAUCAUCGAAUCUUUGAACGCACAUUGCGCCCGCCAGUAUUCUGGCGGGCAUGCCUGUUCGAGCGUCAUUUCAACCCUCAAGCUCAGCUUGGUGUUGGGACUCGCGGUAACCCGCGUUCCCCAAAUCGAUUGGCGGUCACGUCGAGCUUCCAUAGCGUAGUAAUCAUACACCUCGUUACUGGUAAUCGUCGCGGCCACGCCGUUAAACCCCAACUUCUGAAUGUUGACCUCGGAUCAGGUAGGAAUACCCGCUGAACUUAAGCAUAUCAAUAAGCGGAGGAAGAUACCCGCUGAACUUAAGCAUAUCAAUAAGCGGAGGA
rnacentral:rRNA from 2 species